GCUGCUUCUGCUUCCAGCGGCUCUGGGCUCGUGCUGACAGGGAGAUCUGUUGCUGUUGUUGGAAUGGGAGCUGGAAGCAGGGAGAGCAGAUGAGGCCGGAAGCCAAGCUGUGCAAACACUGCUGGGGCGGCAGCACCUUGCUAGCCCUGCGCGGGGAUGGUGGCUGGGAUGUGACAGGGCAGCCCCGGUGCUGAGAGCAGCUCAGACACCCACAACCGAGUCCCAGGGUGCCCAUUUGGCUGGGAGCAGGACUAUAGCCUGAGAGAUGGUGGCCUGUGAUCAAGUGCCCCAUCCUGCACUGUGGACAGGAAUCCCCCAUGGGCAGCAUGAACGUGUGCACAUGCGUAUGUGCGGCACACCGGGAAGGUGGAUGUUGCAAUGUUUGUUUGAUGUGGGACACACAGGGGCAUCUGUUCCGGCAGAGCUGGCUCUGGCGUGUGUCUGACAAAUGGUGUUUGGUUUGGUGGUGGAGCAUAAUGUAAGUGAUGACGGCUGCAGGCACAGGGAAGGGAGCACCUGUCUGAAGGAUGCUCUGGGGGAGAAAGGAGACGGACAGAAGGAUGUUGGACAUGGCUCUUGGUGGUGGCCAGGUGCUCCUUUGCAGGACCUGCAUCUCACUGCCUGGCCAGGGCACCUGGCUCUCUGCACCCAGCCCUGUGCAAUGUGCCUUGGGCCACCAGGAGAAGGGAGAACAAAACCAAAUGUCACCUGGAGAAGUUCCUGCUGCUGCACCCCCAGGGCCUGGAGCUGCUGCCCCAGGAUGGGGAUUAGCACAUCACUGAGAAAACCACCCUGGUUGAUUGUCCCUGGGUGAUCAGACAGAUGAUCGAUGCUGGGAUUAGCCUGUACGGUGGCUGCAGUGACAGCAUCGACCUGGAGCAGCAGCUUCACCCUGCCUGUGCUAGCACUGAGUUCAACCCAUCCCCGUGGCCUCCAGACUGGUGUAUGCACUGAGCAGUGUCGGGCCUCUACCAGCCCCAUGAGGGGCUCGGGGGCACUGACAGCAGACAGCAAUUGCCACAGAUGUUCUGCAUUUGGGAUUUCUCCCCUUUCCAGCCUCAUUAGUAUUGAAAUUAAAAGCAAGUGUUUGUGAAUUGGUAGCUGUUCUCCAAGACCCUAAUUAGCAAAUCUCUUCAUCCCCCACGGCUGCAAUCUAAUAAUCAAAAAAAACCCCCAACACCCAAACAAGCCCCAAACCUUGUUUGAUGGAUCAGGAGUGCUGCUGGAACAGUCAGAGACGGCUCUUCCUGCUUAGUAUGAUAAUUAAACACUUCAAUUGCA